GAUGAACGCUGGCGGCGUGCCUAAUACAGGCAAGUCGAGCGAACGGACGAGAAGCUUGCUUCUCUGAUGUUAGCGGCGGACGGGUGAGUAACACGUGGAUAACCUACCUAUAAGACUGGGAUAACUUCGGGAAACCGUAGCUAAUACCGGAUAAUAUUUUGAACCGCAUGGUUCAAAAGUGAAAGACGGUCUUGCUGUCACUUAUAGAUGGAUCCGCGCUGCAUUAGCUAGUUGGUAAGGUAACGGCUUACCAAGGCAACGAUGCAUAGCCGACCUGAGAGGGUGAUCGGCCACACUGGAACUGAGACACGGUCCAGACUCCUACGGGAGGCAGCAGUAGGGAAUCUUCCGCAAUGGGCGAAAGCCUGACGGAGCAACGCCGCGUGAGUGAUGAAGGUCUUCGGAUCGUAAAACUCUGUUAUUAGGGAAGAACAUAUGUGUAAGUAACUGUGCACAUCUUGACGGUACCUAAUCAGAAAGCCACGGCUAACUACGUG
rnacentral:rRNA from 1 species